UCAGCAACGUUUUUGCUUUAAAUACUACGCUUUGAGACUCUGUGAAGUGAUAUGUACGUAGAUAUAAUACUAAUCUAUGGAUUUAAACGCAAAUCAGGAUAAAAGUGUGAGGUUUAAGUUAUUUUUGACAGCACGGGCCAAGCCGGGCUGAACAGAGACUAAACACUUUUGAUUGAGGCUAUGUUG